UUGCCAGACUCCUACGGGAGGCAGCAGUGGGGAAUAUUGCACAAUGGGGGGAACCCUGAUGCAGCGACGCCGCGUGAGUGAAGAAGUAUUUCGGUAUGUAAAGCUCUAUCAGCAGGGACGAAGAUGACGGUACCUGCAGAAGAAGCCCCGGCUAACUACGUGCCAGCAGCCGCGGUAAUACGUAGGGGGCAAGCGUUAUCCGGAUUUACUGGGUGUAAAGGGAGCGUAGACGGCAGGGCAAGCCAGAAGUGAAAACGCAGAGCUUAACUUUGCGACUGCUUUUGGAACUGCCCAGCUAGAGUACAGGAGAGGUAAGUGGAAUUCCUAGUGUAGGAGUGAAAUCCGUAGAUAUUAGAAGGAACACCAAUAGCGUAGGCAGGUUACUGGGACGGUUCUGACACUAAGGCACGAAAGCGUAGGGAGCAAACGGGAUUAGAUACCCGGGUAC
rnacentral:rRNA from 1 species